CCUUUCCCCCACGUGACCGAGCCGUCCCCGAUGCCUCCUCACGCCGAACUCGCGUCGAUCCUUGCCCUAACCGCACGCGACGGUUGCUCGCCUCCCCCACGUUCAUAACCCCCGGCUAAAGGAAAGCCGAAGCCCCAGCGUCACAUUCCCAUUCCUCUUCAUCUUCCUCGACUCCAAUCGGCGCUGACUCCUGCUGCCCUCCCGAUCUCUUCCUCUUUUCCCAACCCGACGCACGCAGACGCCUCGCGCCACCCUUGCUCCGCCACUUCACCGAGCGACGGCGCCGAUCGCCACCACAACCGACGUCGACCCCCGAUCCGCUCGUUUCCCCUCGCUUCCUCGGCCACCUUCGCACGGACGCACCCUAGCAGAGCACCCCCUCACUGAUCUCUCCAUCAUCUUGAUCGCCGGCACCGCGUGUCCAUCGCGUUGUGCCCUAGUUCCUGAUUCAUGGUCGGCGUCGCAUGGAGUAGCGCAUACCAUUGCUGGAGAUUUACUGUUCCCGUGCCCUAGAUUUCCUCUUGGUGCUGGAUCUAAACAAAACAGCAGUGAUUUUAUCAGGAAGGUGCCACGGACCUGAUAGUCUGGUGCCACUGUCAUUUUCAUGAGGCCAGAUUGGCACACCUAUAUUGGUUAGGUUUCAGAUGGUUUGAACAUGGAGAAGGUGUCAAGUGUUGUGCGUUGUGGGGAAGAUUUCAACAAGGAGGUCUUGUUGUGGUAUACAUUGUUUUCCAGUAGCAAUCAGCUCACCUUGUUCUUUGUUCAACGACGACUGAGCUUGAGGUUGAGGCUGUCCGGAGAGUUCCAAUCGCUAGUCCCCCUACAGAUCGCGAGGAUAUUUAUUUGGUCAUUUGGUUUUUCUUAUGAUGCUAUAUAGACUAUGUUUUACACUUGUAUUAGUUUUGUUCUAUGGAUUACUAUAUGGUCUUUUAUUUGUCGAUGGGUUUUCUUUUAUAUUAAUUUGGAUAUGUUCUAAUACAUGGCUGCCUGGACGGCAGAAGAG